CGUAGGGUGCGAGCGUUGUCCGGAAUUAUUGGGCGUAAAGGGCUCGUAGGCGGUUUGUCGCGUCGGGAGUGAAAUCACCGGGCUUAACUUGGUGCUUGCUUUCGAUACGGGCAGACUAGAGGUAUGCAGGGGAGAACGGAAUUCCUGGUGUAGCGGUGAAAUGCGCAGAUAUCAGGAGGAACACCGGUGGCGAAGGCGGUUCUCUGGGCAUGUCCUGACGCUGAGGAGCGAAAGUGUGGGGAGCGAACAGGAUUAGAUACCCUGGUAGUCCACACCGUAAACGUUGGGCGCUAGGUGUGGGAUCCAUUCCACGGGUUCCGUGCCGCAGCUAACGCAUUAAGCGCCCCGCCUGGGGAGUACGGCCGCAAGGCUA
rnacentral:rRNA from 1 species